CGACGGGAGCCCCGGGCGCGGGGGGCGGGGCCUCGGGGCCGGGCGCGCGGAGGGCUCCCGGCUGUGUUCCCGCGCGUCUGCGGCUCGGCGUCAUGGCCGCCGACCGGCGCGGGAAAGCCGCGACCCUGGCCCUGAGACGGCGGCUGCUCAGCUCUUCCUGCAGGCUCUUUUUUCCUGAGGAUCCUAUUAAGAUUGUCCGGGGCCAGGGGCAGUACCUGUACGAUGAACAGGGCGCAGAAUACAUCGAUUGCAUCAACAAUGUGGCUCACGUGGGGCACUGCCACCCUCUCGUGGUCCAUGCGGCACAUGAACAGAACCAAGUGCUCAACACCAAUAGCCGAUACCUGCACGACAACAUCGUGGAUUACGCGCAGAGGCUGUCAGAGACCCUGCCAGAGAAGCUCUGUGUGUUUUAUUUCCUGAAUUCUGGGUCAGAAGCCAAUGACUUGGCCCUGAGGAUGGCCCGCCAGCACACGGGACACUGGGAUGUGGUGGUGUUAGAUCAUGCUUACCACGGUCACCUGAGCUCUCUGAUCGACAUCAGUCCCUACAAGUUCCGGGACCUGGAUGGCCAGAAGGAAUGGGUCCAUGUGGCACCUCUCCCAGACACCUACCGGGGCCCCUACCGGGAGGACCACCCCAAUCCAGCUGUGGCCUAUGCCAACGAGGUGAAACGUGUGGUCAGCAGCGCACAGGAAAAGGGCAGGAAGGUUGCGGCAUUCUUCGCCGAGUCUCUGCCCAGCGUGGGAGGGCAGAUUGUUCCCCCGGCUGGCUACUUUCCGGAAGUGGCAGAGCACAUCCACAAGGCCGGAGGGGUCUUUGUCGCAGAUGAGAUUCAGGUGGGCUUUGGCCGUGUAGGCAAGCACUUCUGGGCCUUCCAGCUCCAGGGAGAAGACUUCGUCCCCGACAUUGUUACCAUGGGCAAGUCCAUUGGCAACGGCCACCCCGUAGCCUGUGUGGCCACAACCCAAGCUGUGGCAAGGACGUUUGAGUCCACCGGCGUCGAGUACUUCAACACGUUUGGGGGCAGCCCUGUGUCCUGUGCCGUGGGGCUGGCCGUCCUGGAUGUCUUGGAGAAGGAGCAGCUGCAGGCUCACGCUGCCUCUGUGGGUAGCUACUUGAUGGAGCUUCUCCGGCAGCAAAAAGCCAAACAUCCCAUCAUUGGGGACGUCAGGGGCAUUGGGCUCUUCAUUGGUGUGGAUCUGAUCAAAGAUGAGGCCACAAGGACGCCAGCAACCAAAGAGGCUGAUUACUUGGUGUCCAGGUGGCCAUGCCACCAGUGGGAUGGCCCUGCAGCUAGCCUGACUUCCUCCACCCCACAGCCACCUGGAAAUCCACUAAGGAAAACUGGAAGUUCCACCUGCAGUCACCCUGCUAGUAGGCAGCAGAGCUGGGUUUGAGUCCAGACCCUGUUCUUUCCACCACAGCUGUAGUCAGUGCAGGUAGAAGGGGAUGGGAGCAAGGUGCCAGAAGGCAGACCGAGUUCCCAAAGACCCCCACUCCAGGCAAAUUAAAUGGGAGCAGGGAUCAGCGUGUAAAUCACAUCAGACCCCUUCUCUCAGUGGCCUAAAUACCUUCCUAGGUUUAAAGUAUAAAUGUGGAGAACUAAUGAUUUUUAUGUACUGAUGUAAAGAGGGUAAAAUCAUCUCCCUGAGAACCAGAAAUUAAGUGAGUAGUCCCAUCUGGGAGUGCCAGAUGACUGUGGGCAGGGAGCAGGAAUGAGGUUGGCAGGGGAGUUACUGGAACUGGGUGAAGGGUACAUGGGGUUCACUAUCUGUUAUGUGGGGCAUUUUCCAUGAAGUAUACUAUACACAUCACAUAGCCACAGGAGAUGGAAAAUGCAGGAACUCUCACCCCUCCAUGGCAGUCCUGGCUUGGCUUAGGCUGGGGCUGCAGGGAUGGCUGAGGAAAGAUCCCUGCUUUGGGGAGCAGCAGGCUCAUGGCCUGCUGAUCACAAAAGCCCAAGUCACAAGGCCAAGGCCAGGCCGAGGAAGGCCUUUAAGACUAUGUGAAGGGCUCCUGGCUGCUUAUCCUGUCUUUACAGGCUGAAGGAGAACCACAUUUUGCUGAGCACUGAUGGCCCUGGGAGAAACGUCCUCAAGUUUAAGCCCCCAAUGUGCUUCAGCUUGGACAACGCACAACAUGUGGUGGCAAAGAUGGAUGCCAUCCUGACAGACAUGGAAGCAAACAUGCGAAGUUGUACCACACUGCAGCCCCAGCUCUGAGGCAGCCCUGCUGGGUCACGUCCUCCAG